CAUUAGACAAAAAGUCAGUGGGCGUUGACCAUUUUGAGUGACCAACCAAUCUCAAACGAGUCUUAUGUUUUUCGUACUAUUCGUUGGUUGGUCGUACGUGAUUGGUUUAACCAAUCACAAACGAGUUUUCCGCGGAUAGAAUAGUACGAAAAACAAGACUCGUUUGAGAUUGGUUGGUCACUCAAAAUGGUUAACACCCACUGAUUUUUUGUCUUUGUCAUUUGUAUGGGAUUACAGAGCUCGAUAUUAACUUCUCUCCAUGGAUGGAAUAAUAUGCUCUGUUUGGUAUUAUUUUUUCGUGUAAGCCAAACUAAAUUCAUUUACUUGUCACGUCAUACAUACCUUAUAUUAAAAAAAAAAUUGAUGGAAACUCUGCCUGCAUGAUUCUAUGGAGUUUUUUAUUAAUAAUUAAAAAAAUAAAACCUUAUUGUAGGUGUGGCGUAAUAAGUAAAUGUCGCAGAUUAAAAAAAAAUCUCGAUUCGCUUUUUAGGUUUCCGUAUUAAAUUUAAGACUAAAUACGUGUAUAUCAAUAAAAAGAGAAAAAAACUAUAUAUCUAGAGUUAUUUAGUAAUUUUAAAAGUUCUGAGAGGGAUAAUUUUAUUUCAAUUAAAAUAUUAAUUAAUACAUUUUUGAAUUUGAAAAUUUAAUUUUAUGCUUUCCUCGUAUUUAUUGUAUUAUUUUGAAUUUCCAAAGAUUAUAAAUCCAAUUCGAAUUGUCAGUCUUGUUAUACUUGAGUAUAAUAAACGGAUUAAUUGAUUUUUAUUCAUUUGUUUGUAUCAUUUUAAUAAUACCUGUAACACUAACUCUGCCCUCCUUUAACUAAAGAAACCGAUAGCUGCAAAAAUAUAUAUUUUAUCAGUUAUUGCCACAAAGGGUGGAAAUUUUUCAAAAACUAAUGUUUCUAGAAAUAAAUGCUACAUAGGAAACUAAACACAAAAAAAAUCAUCUAUAAACUAACUUAAUUUUUUUUUUCAAAUAUUUGUAGAAAAGAUAGGACCAAAUUAAAUACUAAUUGGUUCUACGUAUCAUCCUCUUUUAGAAAGUUUCUAGAAAAGAAGGGUCUCUAGUAUCUAACUAAAAACCUUGAUCAUAGGACACCUACACAGUAAUCUUUUUUAGAAACAUUAGAUUUUGGAAAUCCAACGUUUUUUUGGCGAUAACUUAUAAAUAACUUUUUGCAAUUAACGGAUUUUUAGUUUAAAGUAUAGCAUUUAAUUUCAUGUGAACGAUUUGAUAAAGCGCUAAGUUGAACUCGAAGAAUUGCAGUGAGUAUUUAUAAACAUUUGCAAAACGAGUCUUUGGAAUUUAAUUUGUACGUGACAAUGAGUCGCGGAUAUUAUCAAUAAUUGAAUCAUAUUUAACCCGUCGCGUUGCGUCAGUUAGACUGACUUUCAUGAUUAUGACUCAUACAUUUGUAUGUAUUGUUUGAAAUUGGUACUUAUACCUAAUAUUAUAAGUGGGACAUAAAAAAAAUAUCUUCAAACUCUUUAAAAAUUGUUUUUUUAACCGACUUCUAAAAAGAAGGUGGUUUUUGCCUGUGAAGAGAUCUAUCCAUCAACUAUUAUAAUACCUACUUCCUGUCUAUGUAGUUGGUCUGAAAUUAUCUUUUCAUCUUCGUGUUGUAUCAAAUCGCUCAACAAGGAACAACAAUUAAAAAUCUAUUAAGUAUUUAAUAUUAUAAAAGUCGAUCAUCAAUAUUACUUAAUAGCACCAAUUUAAUUAUUACACAAAACUUGACUAAAUUGAGCUAGUUCUCUUAUAUUUUUUUAGUAAUACUUUAUUUUCCCCUUGAAUAAUUGCGCCAAUCUUAGUUUAGUUUUGUGUACACUAAAAUUGGCUUAAUGUCUUUAUUCAUUAUUAUUACAUGCAACAAUUAUUCGAGUACUUUCUCGCUUAGUGUAAGAGGUAACUAAGCCUUUUCCCAAAUGUGCGAAAUUCCGACCGUAUUUUUUUUGGCUAUGAUAAAUGGUAUUUAUAUCGAGUUACUAGAUACUCGAAAUCUAAUUAACCUUGACGACAAUGUGUCAAACUUAUACUAGACAAGACAACGUAAUACGAAAAUUCCGGCCGAAAAUUCGCACGUCUUCGUUUUAAUCUGGACAAUUCAUUGCAAUGGUUUGCGAUACAUUUAGUUGAACUUGAUAAGUAUAAUAUAUAUUUUUUUAUUACAAUUAUUUUCGAUUGUGUAGCAAUUUAAUGUCAAAAUAGGAUUUUGGGAUUCAGGUAGUUUGAUUUUCUAUUUUUCAUAAAUUGUAUUAUGUUUUGUUGUAACUAAUAGUCUCAGAUUGAAGGAAUAAGAUAGACGGAACUUGGGUUGUCAGAUUAGAAGCCGAUUGGGAGAAGCCGUAUUCUGUGACAGUGGACUGACUUCGCUUUUAAGAUGUGGCGAGUGUUUCGUUUAUCCUCUUCCUUUAGUCGAUGUAAAAUAAUUAUAAUGUAUAAUUUCUAAACUGUCCAGGCGUCCUAAGAGAGUGGAUUGCUGAACUGAGGGUCGGGGUUACUUAGAGGGGGGCAAGUCGGCCGACUGGUUUGUGACUUAGGUUAGAAUUUAGACAGAACAUAAGUACAGCUAGAUUCUGAAUCAUUUAGCCUUUAUUUCCACGAAUCAUAGUCUAAAAAAUAAAAAAUAAACGCUUUUAUGAGUAGCGUACUAAAUGACUCAUGAGACAAGUUAACAAUCGAGAAAUUUUAAUUUUAUAAAUGUGUUAGGCGCCAUCUCCACGGGCGAUAGUCUCGCCCGCCAAAUUCAAUACAACUCUUAUGGGUCAAUCUCCACGGGGCGAUUCUAUCGUUCUGAGUCACUCGUAUCGCUAUAUGACGUAUAACUGAACGAGUAUAACGUCACGGACUCAUCGCAUCGCGCCGCGCCGAUACCGCCACGUUACGCCACAGUUGAGAGCCGCAACGAGGCGUUGCGGUUACGUCACGCGGCGAUCCGUUGCGGUCUCGUGGCGCAUCACUGGCCCUUAUGGUUUUACCGUGGAGAUUAUCCGACGAUAGUAGGACGGACUCGUUGCAAUUCUCGUCCGUGGAGAUGGCGCCUUAUUGUAAGUCACAGACCAGUCCGCGUUAAAUAGUUUGUGAUGUAAUAACACCUUAUAAUGAAAAAAUAAAUGUUUUUUAUUGCCAAAA